rnacentral:tRNA from 2 species
CCCUGGUUAUCUCAGUUGGUAGAGCGCUCAACUGGAAAUGGGGAGGUCCCGGGUUCGAUACCCGGACCAGGCG